rnacentral:rRNA from 1 species
UACGUAGGUGGCAAGCGUUGUCCGGAAUUACUGGGCGUAAAGCGCGUGUAGGCGGCAGACUAAGUCGGCGGUGAAAGCGCCCGGCUCAACUGGGCGAGGUCCGUGGAAACUGGUCAGCUGGAGGACGGUAGAGGCGAGUGGAAUUCCCGGUGUAGUGGUGAAAUGCGUAGAGAUCGGGAGGAACACCUGUGGCGAAGGCGGCUCGCUGGGCCGGUCCUGACGCUGAGACGCGAAGGCGUGGGGAGCGAACGGG